GGAGAGGUGGCUGAGCGGUCGAAAGCAACGGUUUGCUAAACCGUCGAGUGGGUUAUUACCUGCUCCCAGGGUUCGAAUCCCUGCCUCUCCGCCA
rnacentral:tRNA from 1 species